AGUGAACGCUGGCGGUAGGCCUAACACAUGCAAGUCGAACGGCAGCACAGUAAGAGCUUGCUCUUACGGGUGGCGAGUGGCGGACGGGUGAGGAAUACAUCGGAAUCUACUUUUUCGUGGGGGAUAACGUAGGGAAACUUACGCUAAUACCGCAUACGACCUACGGGUGAAAGCAGGGGAUCUUCGGACCUUGCGCGAUUGAAUGAGCCGAUGUCGGAUUAGCUAGUUGGCGGGGUAAAGGCCCACCAAGGCGACGAUCCGUAGCUGGUCUGAGAGGAUGAUCAGCCACACUGGAACUGAGACACGGUCCAGACUCCUACGGGAGGCAGAAGGGGGGAAUAUGGGACAAUGGGCGCAAGCCUGAUCCAGCCAUACCGCGUGGGUGAAGAAGGCCUUCGGGUUGUAAAGCCCUUUUGUUGGGAAAGAAAAGCAGCAGGUUAAUACCCCGCUGUUCUGACGGUACCCAAAGAAUAAGCACCGGCGAACUUCGU
rnacentral:rRNA from 1 species